ACAGAAUAGACUCACAGAGAGUCACUCUCGCGCUCGCCUCUCUCGACUUAUCUCUCGACUUCGCAGCACCCCCGCGGCUCCGUCACCUCAACUUCGCAGCACCUCCGCGGCUCUGCCACCUCGACUCAGCUUCUCACCACCUCGCCUCUCUCGCUGUCGACUCAGUAGCACCUGAGCUUCUUCCUUCUGCUUCGUUCGGUUUCCAUUUGUGUUUUUCAUUGUUGAUUUCAUAUUCCGCUUGCAGUUCAAGGUGAAAUCAAAUACUGCAGCAAGGAUUACGUCUGCUCUCGGAAAUUCUUUUUGACCCUUCUGAUCAAGAUUUACAAUCAAGCUGCUGGUUGUAUUCUUGGUAUAUCAACUCUGAAAAAGGCUAUGUCGCAGAGUGGUUGUAUAGGUAAUUCAAGCUCAACACCAUCAUUUCCAUCUGUUGCAAAUGAGGAGAUGACUGCCGGUUUACAUGCUUCACCAUCAACAACGUCUCUGCCACCUCUGCCAGCAACACCAUCUUUUUAGCUUUUGUCCAAGGCUUUGAGGCAACAAGAAACACACCUAGUAACACCUCUGUUCAGACUGGUGUUUAGCAGUCUAGCACUCUCCCGGCCUCACAGCAUCAAUCUUUCCCUGCUAAUCUGGACUUUUGUGUUUUCAUUAGACAUGUGUUGUUUAAUUUUCUGUAUAAGACUUUGGACGUUGUUGGCUUGUUGCAUUUGAACUUUUGAAGUUUUG